GAUGAACGCUGGCGGCGUGCCUAAUACAUGCAAGUCGAGCGAACGGACGAGAAGCUUGCUUCUCUGAUGUUAGCGGCGGACGGGUGAGUAACACGUGGAUACCCUCCCUAUAAGACUGGGAUAACUUCGGGAAACCGGAGCUAAUACCGGAUAAUCUUUUGAACCGCAUGGUUCAAAAGUGAAAGACGGUCUUGCUGUCACUUCUAGAUGGAUCCGCGCUGCAUUAGCUAGUUGGUAAGGUAACGGCUUAUCACGGCAACGAUGCAUAGCCGACCUGUGAGAGUGAUCGGCGACACUGGAACGUGAACACGGUCCAGACUCCUACGGGAGGCAGCAGUAGGGAAUCUUCCGCAAUGGGCGAAAGCCUGACGGAGCAACGCCGCGUGAGUGAUGAAGGUCUUCGGAUCGUAAAACUCUGUUAUUGGGGAAGAACAUAUGUGUAAGUAACUGAGCACAUCGUGACGGUACCUAAUCAGAAAGCCACGGCUAACUACGUG
rnacentral:rRNA from 1 species